GUUGUGUAAUUGAGAAUAAAUUUAAUUACAUGAUACAUAUAUAAAUAGGCUGGGGCUACUAUACUCUUAUGAGUAUAAACUUUCUUGUACUCAUAAAUUUUUAACCGUUAAUUCAUGAGAUGUGUGGUUAGGAUAACAGUGGUCCCCACCUAAAAUGACAGUGGUUUCCUAGGGUUGAGUCGGUAGUUUGUUGAAUAGUAUGAUCUAACGGGUGAAAAUGAUUAAUGAAACAAAUCUAAGAGCCAAAAACUUAUGAGUAUAAGGGAGCCAAUACUCAUAAAUGUAUAGUAGCCGGACUCUCUCUCUCUCUCUAUAUAUAUAGAGUAGGCUGGUAUGCUUAUGGAAGCAUGGAGCCCUCCGUGCUUCCAAGUUGUUUUCGAUGUUCGGACUUUCGAAUUGAUGAUUGGUUCCGUUAGAGUUGAUCUAGAGUAUUUGAAGUAGCUAGAAAAUAAAUUUUGUGAUUUUUCAAUAUCAUUUUCCUAGUGAUCGAAGGGGCUCAAAAUCAAUAAUUUUAAUGGCCGUGGUGAGCCGGUUGCAAGUUUAACGGUGUAGAAAUAUCCAAAUCAUAUGAAAUUUUGAUAGAAAAUUCUUUAUACCAUAUAAAACAAGAUCAAUAACUUUGAUCUAAAAUUUUAAUGUCAUAUCAUCAUAUUUUGUAAGAUUUUUAUUUUCAGCCGUUGAUUUUGAGCCACUUUGAUCACUAGGCAAAUGAUAUCGAAAAAUCGUAAAAUUUAUUUUCUAGAUACUUUAAAUACUCUAGAUCAAGCCUAACGGAGCCGAUCGUCGAUUUGAAAGUCGGAACAUCGAAGACAAAGUGGAAGUACGAAGCCCUCCGUGCUUCCAUAAGCAUCCUAGCCGCACUAUAUAUAUAUA
rnacentral:lncRNA from 1 species